CUGGAUUCAAAGUUGUCGGCCUCCAGGGCGCUUCCUGAAGGUUUGGUUCAAGAACUACAGAGCAAAGGCCAGGAGAGCAAAAGACAGGGUUUCCUAGUUACCUGGGCUGGACUCAAACCUGUGAUCCUCCUGUCUCAGCCUCCACAUCCAGACGACACUUGGCAAUCUGACCUGAGGACAUUAAAAGGCCGAGGGACCAGCCGGAGAUCCAGGAGGCCCCAGAGGAGAGGCAGUGGAGACCCUGCAUCUCUGGCUGGCAUCAGCCCAGUGCCUUCAGGGGAAGAAAGGCAGCAAGCCACGGUCCUCCCUUGGGCUCCACAGGAGUCACCACUGCCUGCUCUGAGCCAGGCUGGCUUUGUUCUCCAACCCUGCUGGGUUCCCCCCAGCCCACUGCUCCCCUGAAAGUUGGCGUUCUCCUAAGGAAAGGGUCUGUACAUUUCCUGUCUUGCAAGUAAAUAAUUUGUACAUCUUUUCUCCAGAAAGAAAGAGAGGAAGCAGAACGAGG
rnacentral:lncRNA from 1 species